GAAAUGCGAUAAGUAGUGUGAAUUGCAGAAUUCAGUGAAUCAUCGAAUCUUUGAACGCACAUUGCGCCCCUUGGUAUUCCAUGGGGCAUGCCUGUUCGAGCGUCAUUUGUACCUUCAAGCUCUGCUUGGUGUUGGGUGUUUGUCUCGCCUCUGCGUGUAGACUCGCCUCAAAACAAUUGGCAGCCGGCGUAUUGAUUUCGGAGCGCAGUACAUCUCGCGCUUUGCACUCAUAACGACGACGUCCAAAAGUACAUUUUUACACUCUUGACCUCGGAUCAGGUAGGGAUACCCGCUGAACUUAAGC
rnacentral:misc_RNA from 1 species